rnacentral:sRNA from 1 species
UUUUUGACUAAGUUCAGUUUGUUUUAAAAGAUGUAUAUACAUGAAGAUGUGAAAAACAUGUUGGAUUUGUGGAAUCGCUAAUGACCACGGUUAAAUGGCGGGAUCCAAAAUCCGGUUAUAUUUCACAACGUUGUAUUAAUUUAGUACUUGUAGAACUUUUUUUAAAAAAUAAUCAAAAAAGAAAGAGGUGAAAACCUUUUAAGAAAAGAAAGUAAAAAAAAUAUUAAGCUAAAUAUAUAUGAAGAUGUGAAAAACAUGUUGGAUUUGUAGAAUCGCUAAUGACCACGAUUAAAUGGCGAGAUCCAAAAUCCGGUUAGAUUUCACAACGUAAUAUUAAUUUAGUACUUAUAAAAC